ACAACAGUUUUAGCAGGGCUCUCUCCUUUCCUGAUCUCUGUGUUAAGCUGCCUGCCUCAUUUGAUAUCACAUCCAAAUUAUCAGCUGAUUGCUCUGUUGUUUUGGACAAUGCCCUGGGGCAUACCAAAAUGUGUCUGGAAUUGGUGGGUUCUUGGUCUUACUGACUUUAAGAAUAAAGUUGCAGACUUUUGUGAUGUGUGAACCUCCAGAACUGUAAAGUAAACAACCUCAUUCAACAUCAAGCAGAAUUCAAAGAAGUCUAAAGUCUUAAUAAUUGUCUGUUCAAUCUGGGAGGAAAGGACUAAAAUAGCAUGAAUCCAGGUGAUCCACUCUACCUCAUAUUGUCUUAUAAUGGCCAUCCAGUUUAUCCUAGAGCCCUUGUAUGACACAUGCCUAUUGGAGCAUAGGAAUGCCAAUAUUUUACCUCUUGGGUACUUUCUGUGUAGAAGAUUCAUAACAAGAACAAUGCUUAUUCUGCAAUUCUUUAUAUAAAGCUCCAGAGGGAAGUGAGAAGGAUGUUCACUUGCUGGUGAGAGAAGGAGCUGGUUCCAUCCAUUAUGCAGUCCCCUGGG
rnacentral:antisense_RNA from 1 species